rnacentral:misc_RNA from 1 species
CCGCAAACCAGUUCGCCCCCCAAAUCCGACCGCCGCUCAAGCCCCACGCCGCGCCACCGGCCGCCACCGCCGCCGCGGACAGCCGCGAUGCCGAAGAAGAUGGGCGUCAACUCCAAGGCGGAGGCGGCCCGCGAGCGCCGCUCCGUCGCGGAGGCCGACCGCCGGGACCGCGUCGAGCGCGCCAAGGAGGAGGAGUACUGGCGCGAGGCCGAGGGCCCCAAGUCCCGCGCCGCGCGCCGCCGGGAGGAGG